GCCAUGGAGUGGCGCACGGGUGAGUAACGCGUGGGAACCUGCCCAGCAGUAUGGGACAACCGCGGGAAACUGCGGCUAAUACCGUAUACGCCCCUGCAAGGGGGGAAAGAUUGAUCGCUGUUGGAGGGGCCCGCGUCGGAUUAGGUAGUUGGUGGGGUAAUGGCCUACCAAGCCUGCGAUCCGUAGCUGGUCUGAGAGGAUGAUCAGCCACACUGGGACUGAGACACGGCCCAGACUCCUACGGGAGGCAGCAGUGGGGAAUAUUGGACAAUGGGCGCAAGCCUGAUCCAGCAAUGCCGCGUGAGUGAUGAAGGCCUUAGGGUUGUAAAGCUCUUUCACACGCGACGAUGAUGACGGUAGCGUGAGAAGAAGCCCCGGCUAACUCCGUGCCAGCAGCCGCGGUAAUACGGAGGGGG
rnacentral:rRNA from 1 species